CGGCGAGUGAAGCGGGAAGAGCUCAAAUUUAAAAUCUGGCAGGCUACGCUUGUCCGAAUUGUAAUCUCGAGAAGUGUUUUCCGCGUUGGCCUGUGUACAAGUCCCUUGGAACAGGGCGUCAUAGAGGGUGAGAAUCCCGUCCUUGACACAGAUACCCAAUGCUUUGUGAUACACUCUCAAUGAGUCGAGUUGUUUGGGAAUGCAGCUCAAAAUGGGUGGUAAAUUCCAUCUAAAGCUAAAUACUGGCGAGAGACCGAUAGCGAACAAGUACCGUGAGGGAAAGAUGAAAAGCACUUUGGAAAGAGAGUCAAACAGUACGUGAAAUUGUUGAAAGGGAAACGAUUGAAGUCAGUCGUGCCUGCCUAGUCUCAGCCUUUUGGUGUACUACUAGGCCGGCAGGUCAGCAUCAGUUUGGGAGGAUUAACAAGGGAGUUAGGAAUGUGGCAACCUCGGUUGUGUUAUAGCCUAGCUUCGCAUUGAUCUUGCUGGACUGAGGAACGCAGUGCGCCCGCAAGGGUUGGUCUUCGGACACAUUCGCACUUAGGAUGCUGGCAUAAUGGCUUUAAACGACCCGUCUUGAA
rnacentral:rRNA from 1 species